GAUAAAGUCUGCAAAGUCCGGCAGAUAUAAAAGCACAUUUUCACUAUUGAGCAAUAGUGUUUAACUCUACCAUUUUAAUGCUUAUUUAAUACGUUUUUACAGGGGAUUUUUGAUAAAGUCAGGCACCAGUGUCUACAUAUCCUUUGGAGUGUUUACUUAGAUGGCCUUAAGUCUAAGCCUGCUGGAAGAGGUUCAGUUACUUGUCCAAUAUUGUAUCCAAUAGCAUGGCAAUACCAUUUUGUGUGUUCUCUCACCAAAAAUGUGUGUGUGUGUGUUCACUUAAAGGACCACUAUAGGCACCCAUACCACUUAAGCUCAAUGCAGUGGUCUGGGUGCCAGGUCACUCUAGUUUUAACCCUGCAGCUGAAAACAGCAGUUUCAGAGAAACGGCUAUAUUUCACUGAGGGUUAAUCCAGCCUCUAGUGGCUGUCUCACUGACAGCCGCUGAAGGCCCUUCUGUGAUUCUCACCGUGAAAAGCAAUGAGAAGACGCUGGCAUUGAGUAAUGCUUUCAUAUGGGCUGUUUGAAGUGCGUGCGUGACUCUUUCUGCCCAUGCAGAUCUGACGUCGGCAGGGGGUCGAGAGUUCCUCAGCACAGAGGGAGCCCGGCGCUGGAGAAAGGCAAGUGGCUGAAGGGGUUUUUACCUCUAGUGCCAGGAAAAAGUUUGUUUUCCUGUCACUAUAGUGCUUCUUUAAGUG